AUGAACCUGAGUUGGGGGCGGGGGUGACCAGGGAGCAGAGCUGCAGACAAGAAGGCUGCUUGAGGACCUAGUUGAGGCAGAAAGACCCAGGGCAAGUCCAGUUUCUGUGCUUGGGUGUUCCUGGCAGCUCUGGUCCCUUCAUUCGUCUUCCUCUGCUCUCCUGCCCCUUUCCUCGCCCCUUUCCUGGGCUCCUACUCUCCGUCCUUUUCUGUGCAUGUUAAGGCAUAUUAAAGAUUGGCAAGGUGUUCCUGGCGGCAGGCAUGAGUAGUUUUUGUUAAACAGAACUUUCAGAAGUAAAGGGGAAAACCAAAACAAUUUCCCCCUUCGAAUAAGUUGUAUGUCUAAGAGGCCAGAGAACUCUUGAGGAUUUCCCCCAGGAUCUUUUCCACUGAGGAUGUUUGUUUGCUUUUUCAUUUGAGAGUAGGGACUGAUUCAUUCAUUAAACCAAUAUUUGCUGAGCUUGUAUGAUAAGCAAGCACCACCGCAGCUGCCGGAGAAAUCGGAGUGAACCAAAAUGGCAAAAGCCCUGCCUUGGUGCCCCGUACGUUCCCGUAGGGAACACAGUUGGGAAAUGGAAUAAAUAACAGCAACAACAACAGCAAUGCAUGUGUCUUGCUUGUGGUGGUGAGAAGUGCUCGGGAGAGAAUAAAGAAGGGUACAGCGUAAGGAUCCCUUGAGCUGCUGUCUGAGAGUAACCUGUGAAUGACAGGGUGAAGCCAGUUAGGAAGCCUUUGCAGUAAUCCAAGAAAGUAAUCCAUGGAAGACCAAAGUAGUAACAGAAAUGGAGCAGUGGUGACUCUGAUCUAAAGAAGAGCAUGAGAAACCACGGUGCCUAAUUUGGGAAGCCCUGAAGUGAUCCACUCUGGGAAUAGGUGGUUUGUUUGGCCCUGUGAAGCAGAACUCAGGCCUCCAGCCUCUGCUUGUCUGGACCUAAAGGUGUUUCCUGAGGGCCGAGGCGGCCCUGCCUCGCAGGUAUCUCCGCAGACCACAGCGACGGCACCGGAGGCGCGACGCUCCCUCCUGGCACGCACUCGGGCCGCGGGCUCCUCCGCUCCCCUUCCAACCCCAGCUCUGCUGCCCAGGCCGGAUGCUGAGUGAGAUAAUGUGAGAAAAAACACACUGGAUGUCAUAUGUGGGGGUCACCUGACCUAGUACUCUGGAAAAAGUUCAGGCCAGAGAAGAAAACUGAGGAAGGACUCGGAUUUGCAUGAUGUGUAGAAGUGGGCGCACGGUGAAACUAGCAAAGCCUGAGACUCACAGCUCCACCCUGAACUACCAGACUCUUCCCAAGCCCCAAGAUGGCCGCUGGCAAUUUUGUGUCUGCGAUGGUACGUUCGUGCUCAUAAAUGGACUUCUCAAACUGUAUAAGCAUCAGCCCCUCCAGGUCUGCUCCUGAGGAAAUGCCUCUCUCUGUAGCUCUUGGCUUUCUAGAACGUUUGUAAUCCUCUCGUUCCGCCUCCCCAGACAGGGGGUGCAACAAGGACGGGAUGUGCUCACGGGAAGGAGGGCCUUGGAGAAUGGCUGGGAGGGGAGAGACCACCACAGCGGGGUUCAAAGUGAUGCAUUGUAGAGACUAGGAUGGCUUUCUUCAAGGGUUUCCUGUCUUGUCCUUCUAGGGUGGUGAUUCUCAGUCGAAGGUAAUUCCCCCCAGACGCCAUUUGGCAGUAUCUGUAGACAUGCUUUGUUGUCUCCAAAUGGUUGGGCUGUGGAGAUGCUACUGGCAUCUAGUGGGUGGAGCCCAGUGAUGUUGCUAAACACCCUGCAGGACCACAGACCGGGAUCUGGCGCCAGAGCUCCAUAGUUCUGAUGUUAAGAAAUCCUGUUCCAGAGUGCUCCUUUUCCUGCAGGUCACUGACAACUCAGGUUGUCAAAAUGAACAACGAGCAAACAGUAUAAGGUAACUUCUUGGAGAGGUUUUGCAGUUUCGUCGUCCCUGUCAGCUACUGUGUGGCAGGUAUCUGGCUCCUCUUUAGUGACUUUCACUCCUACCCACCCUCUGCCCCCCACAUACACAUAUGCAAAGGCUGUGAGGUUGGUGGCUUUAAUGAACGCCCUGGUGAAAACCUGAUUCCGGCAGUCAUAUGGGAGAGAGAGGCCCUCCUCUCACCAAGGGACUGGGCUGUAUAUGGCCUCAGGGUUAUGGGAAAAUCCCAGGCACUGGAGUGGGGCUUUGCAGUCUAAAAGCAUCAGCCAUUUACUUCAACACCGUGAAUUUUUUUUUUAAGAUUUUAUUUAUUUAUUUGACAGAGAGAAAUCACAAGUAGAUGGAGAGGCAGGCAGAGAGAGAGAGAGGGAAGCAGGCUCCCUGCUGAGAAGAGAGCCCGAUGCGGGACUCGAUCGCAGGACCCUGAUAUCAUGACCCGAGCUGAAGGCAGCGGCUUAACCCACUGAGCCAACCAGGCGCCCCAACACCGUGAAUGUUAAUGCAAGUUGAUGGAAAUGUCCAUACCCUCUCCAGGCUGCUUAACCCUACUAGUUCAAAUCCCAGAAUUCCCAAUGGACUGCUCCAAAUCCCUGCCUUCUGACCUCAGCUGGUCCUCCACUGUCUCUUGGCCUUCCUUCAGGUCACCUUCUGAUUGUGUGUCUGCCUUAUUCCUAUGACGGCUCCCUUCCAAGGCCCCAAACCAUUCUCUCCCUAUUUCCCUUCUGCAGAUGGCGGUGCCUCUUGCUUUCCUGAGAUGAGUAACACAAUAAUUACAGCUGCUACUAUUUAUUCCACAGCUGCAAGCACCAGGCUGGCGAAGAAGAGGUGUUCAAGGGGCAUGUCGCUAACCCCGCUUUGCAGAUGAUGAAACCAGAGUAGAGGCCUCUCACUCUUCCAAGUCACAGUAUGAGCAUUUGAUCCCAGGCCUGUCCAUCUCCAGUAUGAACUUCCUAUACUUCUCUCUUUUGCAAAUCUCUUUUUUUUUUUUUUCCUUUUAAAGGAUUUUAUUUAUUUGUCAGAGAGAGAGAGAAGGCACAAGCAGGCAGAGUGGCAGGCAGAGGCAGAGAGAGAAGCAGGCUUCCUGAUGAGCAAGGAGCCCGAUGUGAGACUUGAUCCCAGGACCCUGGGACCAUGACCCGAGCCGAAGGCAGCGGCUUGACCGACAGCCUGUCUCAGGUGUCCUGUCUCUGUCUUGAUCCCUAGGUCUUGGAAGAAGAAAAGUUCUUUCAACCCAAAGUUUCCUCCUCAGUCUUGAUCCUGGAUUUCUCCUGUUUCCCACUGCACAUCACUCCAUCUCCCACAGCCCUGCUUUCCCUACACAAUCCUGUCUCAUCUUCUUUGCUUCACUGUCAACUUGUUAAAAGGAAGAAUGUCUCAGUUUGACCCCUCUAGUCACCUAUUCUCUAGUCCCCUUCCCUGGCUCUGUGUUCCCUUGGGUCCCCUUUCCUUCCUGGAUGGGCACUAUGUCCACCUCUUACCCUGUAGUUUCUUGGUGUUGGGGACCGCAUCCUGAAACACAAAUAGUGAUGGUCAUGACCUCACACUGAGAACUGGACCAAAACAAGACAAACCCUCCCAGGGGCCAGAGAGAUGGCUAAAGUAGGGCUCCCAGGGAAAUUCCUUUGGGCUGGAGUUCUGUUCAGUAUAAUGACGACACACUAUUGCCAUUUUUAGAGCAGUGAUUACCAAAUGGAAAUACCCUACUUCACCAGAGACUGAGAUCUGAAGUCACUAGCUUCAUAUCUAAAUGUCAUUCGAAUCUUCACUGUAACCAAAGCUCUGAUUAACAGAAACACAUGACUACAAGCUAGGGGAUUCAAUUCCUGUUUUUUCUUCCUGUUUGUCCUCUGCUAAAAUAAAAAAAGAAAUACCUAAGAGAAACUUCUCGCUAUUGUUAUCCUGAUAGUAUAUUACUACUACAUACAUGGAGCUGAGUUAAACAAUAAAUAAUUUUUGAGCUGUUGGCAUCAAAUGUCCAUCAGUUUUCAAAAAGCAAGUAAAGAAAA